ACAAUAGACCGCAUUAGGGCCUUCCCAUAAGGCAAAUGUGGUUGCGCUGGAAAAGCCCGGUUCGGUGGCACCUGACCAACUUAAUGACAGAAUUUAUCCCAAAAAAUAUAACUGUGAUAACGGAUACUCCAAUAUCAACUAUCAACUAUAAUCCAAGUCAUAGCAAUAUCCAACAAAUAAUCCAAGCAUAAUAUCAUCAUCUCAAAAUACUCCAAGGGUAGCACUACACUACUGUCAUGAUGAAUCCGAAAAUCAAAAUCCUACUACUCCAAUAACAAGAAUAAAGCUAUUCGGCUAAGAUCCACAUGUAAACAUCAUUUCUGAAAAUAAUACUCCAAGCAACAGAACAUCAACUAGCAUCAUGAAAAUAAUCAUACUAACCACUAAUAAUCCAAAGGCAGCAUGAUAUCCAAAGUAAUACUCCAAACUAUAAUAACAGAUACCAUCAUGGAAAUAAUCAUAAUAGCCACCAAGAAUCCAAAGGCAACAUAUCAUCCACAUAAUUAUCAAAAUAUAAGUCCUAAAACUCCAAGCAAUAUCAUGGCAAUAUCAAGCUCUAAACAGUACUCCGGGAAGUGCCACGAACAGAUAACACAUAGCUAAUGCAAUAUUUUAAACAAGUUCAAAUAAAUAAACCAUGGCACUGCAUUGCAAUCAUGCAAAUGAUGGGUGUGGCUUGCCUAGGGUGGAAGAAUACACCGGGAGAAAGUGCCAGAAGCUCGCGAAAAGAAUCGCCGGAAAACGUACAUUCUCGAAGGGGGCUGAUUAAGUGCAAGGGCAAAAUGGUCAUUUUCAGAAUGUCAAAACAUCAUGAAAAUGUUACCAACAAAACAGGCUCGAUGAAAUGAAGAAGUGGGCUUUGGAUUCACCUCAAUCGGAGUCUCGAGCAAAAAGAUAUGAUAGUUUGAACUCCAGGGACCAAUUUGUAAAAUAAACUCUACAAACAGGCCCCUGAGCUGAAAAACAGAAAAUGUAUUUUAGCAAAAUAUGCUUUCAGAACAGAGUAAACGUAUUUCUGGCCGAACAGAAACUAGAAUACGCUUUCUGAAAGCGAACACGUACUCUGCGGGUUGACGCUUCCACUUAUCCACGUCAUCAGAGGGCGAGGCCGGCCUCUGGGUCGCUGACUGGCGGGUCCCGCCUUAUCCAUCUCUCUCCUCGCGUCUGUCUUCUUCCUCCAUGUUACCUCCCCGAUCAGAGAGAGAGGAGCGAGGGCAGGGAAGAGGCCGGCGCCGGCCCGGCCAACUCCGGCCGUCUCCGGCAGAGGUGAGGACACCGGCGGCCUCGGGAUGGGAUGGCGCACCCGUCCAUAGGAGAAAGAGGUGCCGGGGAGGGAUGGGGAGAAGACGACGGGAGGAGACCGAGGCAGAGCAGAGGCACUGCCGGCGACGGCCUAGGCGAUUCCAUCCAUCUCCGGCCGAGGCGCUGGCACCGGUGGUUCUACUGGUGAGGUCAGGAGGGAGGGGGAGGGCUUGGAUAGCUCGUAUUUAAGUGGACGGCCGCGGCGACCAUGGUGGCCAACAGAGACGAGGAAAGCUCCUGGAGCUCGUUGGAGAUGUCCGGGAGGUGUAGUGGAGCGAGGCAAGGCUGGUGACGAGCUCGGAGAGGGUCGGGGCUUCCUUAUAUAGGCGAGGGCGAGGGGCACGGGCACAGGUGUCGCCGGGCACGUCCGACCAAGGCUCUGGUGAUGGCCAGCGAUCAUGGGGAGGCGCAGGAAUGCGACGAGCUAUUGAUUCAUAGCUCAUAGAGGGGUAGGCGACGCUGGAGAGCAGAGGAAGAGGCCGAGCACCAUUAAAACAUGUUGGGGCACUAUGCUCCCGUGGGCGUUCGGCGGAGUGCGUCGUGAGCAUUAGUGAGGGGUUUUACGGAGAGGGAGAGAGGUCUAGGAGGACAGCGAUGACGCGAUAAAACAGUUGGACAUGCUCACGCGCGCGAAGCUGAUGAGAGGAGGAGGUGCCCAAGCACAAACGGCCACUACACGCAGAGCGUGUGCACGGUGAUGCCAUUAACAAGGUCACCGCGUGCACUGGCAUGUAGCGGGGAAAAUGAGCUGGAGCGUGUUGUCUAGUGGGAAUUUCAUCUAGGGUAGGUUUCAACUACGGUGGUAGCUCGGUUAAAAGUGAUCUUGUUAAACGGUAAGAAGUCUCUGAAGUUUACUGUAGUAAACUUGAUUGAGCACUAGUGAUCAACAGGAAUGGGUUUGGAGCCAUUGAGUUUGUCUGCGAGGUUGAGGUAAAGAAGGACUUUCAUCCUGGUAAUUUUGAGAAGAUUAGGAUCAAGGUUUAACAUAGUUGCUUCACAACUGACCCAAAUGGUCCAGAAAAUGGAUCAAGAUGAUGCACUCAAAUGGUGUGGCCACUUGAGCUAAAAUUUGGCAAGGCUUCACAAUUUGAGCAUAUAAAGAUGAUGUAUAAGUUUCAUACCAAUUGGAUUCACCAAAAUGGUACUUCCUACACAGCUAUCUUCACUGACAAGAAUCUUGCAAGAAUUUUGGAGAAAUAUUGGCUAAGUGAAAUGGUGCCAAAUUUGGUGGAGAGAAGUUAUAUAGGUAGGAGAACAAUCUCGUAUUUUCUCAGAAUUAAUGAAGCAAUAUAAAAUGCAAUUGCUUCACAACCUGAAAAUAUUGCCACAAUUAAAGAUUUGGUCCUGUGCUCACAUAGAUGAUUCGAUGGAGCUGAAACUUGGAGGAGGGGUUAAUAUGAGCACAUUAAGGAUUGUGCCAAAUUUCAUCUCAUUUGGAUAACCCUAGUUACUACUUCCUUUACAAAGCCUUCUGUUUGACGGAAACUUUGAAACAUUGCCGACGAAGAUUGGAUAGGCAAAUAAAGUUGAAUUUUGGCAUGAGGCAAUUAUUUGGACAUAAAAGAAUUCCCAAAAAGUUUGGGAGAAAACAAGAUUGGAUAGGUGGCACUUCCUUCACAAAGUGUCACUCUGGACAGAAUGGAAGAAUGAAUUUUGGUGAAUUAUUCUUGGGCUAGGACAGGAAAGUUUGGGCAUAUUUGAGCAACCUAUGACCCAAAGGAAUUAUGAGAAUUAUUUGGGAAUUACUGGAUGGACAGAAAUAUAGGUUGCUUCACAACCUAUGGCCAUUAGGGUUAUUCCUUUAAUAGAAAAAGGAAUUUUCCCUAGACAAAGUAAUUAGGGUUUGGUCAAGCAGUGGAGUGACAUGGUCUUGGCAAGGUUUUGAGAAUGAUGAGCCACUUGGGAGAGGAAAUGAAGUUGAUUUCCCAUGUGACAAGGCCACAGAACCACUCCGAAAAGAAAAACAGAGCAAAACCAAAUAAAUCAAAAAGAAAAAGGAAAGGGCCGAAAUCCAGGCUGUUACAACUCUUACCCCCUUAAAUAAAUCUCGUCCUCGAGAUUUAGUUGCUCUGGGAACAAGUAUGACUUGAGGAUACCAUUUCCUACUCGGGUAUCCUUUUUCCUUUAUUUAUUGUUCCCCCAAGAAUUUCAGAUGAUCAACUUACCUUGCUGUGGGGUUGGCUUGCUUCUCCUUUCCCCAAAUUCUGACGUGUUUUCGCUCAUAUACCAUUUCCUUUUGCUGACGUGAAUUUUCUCAUAUCUGCGGUGAUAUCCAAUGGAUCUGGGCAUAAAUUUCCUUUUGUCCUAAAAACCUUAAUACUUCUGUCAUGGGUUUGCUUCAAAUAAAUGCAGGCCUUCUAGGUUCAAUAAAUGCUGAGAAUUAAUCAUGGCCACCCUCUGACGGGGUCUGACUGCUCAAAGGUGGUACUGAUUUUGAUUUAUUUCUUUGGCUCGAGUGUGAGAUAUGUACCAAAGAUCUGACUGCCUUUUGUCAGGAGCAAUAUAACGGUGUAUGGAGUCAUACCUCAAAUAUUUACAUCUUGAGACUUUCCCUAACAGGGGGCUGGUGGACGAAUGCUUUUCCUGACAGGCUGACAAUGUACUUGAUUCCAUCAAUGAGUAUACCGGGUCUGAGCUGAUUGUUCGGCUUUUGACUUUCUCAUUUUGUUGGUAUACACAUCUUUGGUAAUACGUUGUGAUAUGUUUUUAACACUGUCGCUGAGGUCAAACUGUUGAGGUUACCAAGGAAUCUUGGAUCUGAAAAAACAGACUUGGAUAUUCCACACUAACCAUGUCAAGCGGGUCAGCGGGAUAUGCAAAUCCUUGUAAAUAGGGUAGGCCGCUGAGAAUAUGCCUUUGUGGAUCCAUAUGGAAUCAUUGCCUCCACCUGAUUUGGGUAUCCAGACCCUAAUGGUCGUGCAAAAUUAUCAUACCUUUGUUGUCGGUUUCACCUUUUAACUGUCAUGAUUUUUCUUUGUCAGGAUACCUUACUGAAAUAUCUUGGCCACACAUGUCCGUGAUUCUUCGUAUGACCAUGGAUGUGAUUAAUAUUUUUGACAUUAUCCCUUGUGCUUGUUUUUCUGACCUAUGUCCGCACAUAUAUGACAUGUACUCGGGGUUUGUAGCUGUACGGAGCUCAUUGUUGAGGCCAAUCAUAGAAGAAGGUGACAAGAGUUCAUAUAUCACCUUGUUUGGUGCGGGAAUAAUGACCUUGAUGACCAUUGUCAACACUGUGGAUUCUGUGAUGUCAUCCCCAGAUCUUGUCGAUCCUUGUAAUUCAUGAGAUGUAUCUCUGCUUAUCUUUGCAUGAUUCAUGAGGCUGUGGGAUCCGUACUUUCCUUCAAGUAUAUCUGUUGGAUCCGUACCUCGUAUGAGUGACUGAUAUGAUUGGGGGUACAUGCUCACCAUAUGUAUAAGGAGAAUAUGCCACCAAACACUCGAUCCUUGCGGUAGGCAUAUGUUUUGACUGCAUUGUAUUUCUGACCAAAUUAUUGCAAAUCUGUUCCUUGAACUGCAGAGAAAAGCCAUUCGUGUAAUUUGUCGGGGAAUGCUCAUUAGCUUCUUCUUGAAGCUUUUGUCUGGGUAUCGUGUCGAAGAAAGCUCUACAGCUUAUACAAGAAGCUUGGCAGGAGUAUUGUGCAAGAGAAGCCGGGUUUCCGUACUUGAGAAGCUUCUCCUCGGAUUGCUUGUUGAGAAAGAUUCAUUUUCGUCAGUCAGAAGCUUUUAUCGAGGUAUCUUGCUGAGAAAAGACUGAUUAUCUUGCACCGGAAUUUGUCCAUAUAUUGUACGUGGUACUCAACUGAAAGACAUAAACACACCCAUAAUAUUUUGCGACUGAGUAUUUGCAUAAGAAAAUUUUGUUUGACUGUCUUCCUUGAGCAUAUCACAUUCUGACUUUAUUUCCGAUGAUAACAUAUUUCAAGCAUCAUGCAUUGCUGAGCCAAAAUGUUGUAUAUGACCCAUACCUUUGACUGAAAAUAUACCAUUGAUCUUGUACUUGACUUGCCUUGCUGCUGAUCAUUACUGCUGUGAGGAUUUUAUACUGAUACAUGCUUGAGUUAUCAGUACUGUUGUGAGGAGUGCACACUAAUCCAAACUUUGAUUAUUAGCCUCACGAUCAGAUAUUCCCCAUUUUACUACAGUCGGCUGAGAAUUCCAUACUGUUGUGAGCUUCCAAAUAAUUGAACUCCUUAUUACUUCUUCGAGUCCGGUGUCAGAUGAUGAGCAACUCUUUAUAGGGGCAAAAUAAUGUAACACCGGGGCCCAAAAAGGAAGAAGCAAAAGAAAACUCAACUAACCAAAAGCACACAACAACAAUCAAUUCACACACAAUCAGUGUCACAUAUUACUGCUAGUCACACAAUAUGCAUGCCUACUUAAGCACACAAAUUUCGCGGGAUCUCCGGUUCUACGAUCUAGCAUGUUGUGACGAUGUGCACGAGGACGAAUAAAUGUGUGGAAGAAUCGGUGUAAACAACGCUACACCAAUUGCUAGCUUAGCCAGGUAGCAACCUAGACUAGCUCGGAGGCGAGGACAUAUUUGGUAACCAUGUAGCAGGACGCGAAUGUCGCGACCACAUUAUUAUCAAGUGGGCGGAAAAUAGCCGUACUCGUCCAAGAAAUAAGGAUAGCGAGGAAGAAAUGGAGUCUGCUGUCAUUGCCCUUUCUUGAUAACUACGAUCAUUAAGGGUUGCCAAAAUGACAAGAAAAAGGACGAUCCGUGAUAGAAGCACAUCUACCCCCGAAACAAAAGGUGGGGCUGAAGGAAAUAAUUCGGCGCGAUACCUCAGCACCAUUUUUGCAAACAGUGUCAGGAUCACUUGGCAUCACUCUGUUGGGAUAGAAAUGACACUAAUCAUCGAAGAAUUAGCAACUGGAUAAAUGCAGAGGCUGAGCUGUAGUGGAUCCGAACCGAUGCCAUCUACACUCACCAGAUAAAUCGUCAGUAGCAAAAUAAUAAGGCUAUAUGCAUGCUGUGCAACAAACAAAUGCAGCAACCAUAUGCAAUAAACAAGCCAAACUCUAUACUACUGAUUGCUACCGGUUUCUACCGCUCGCGCUGACUAGGGCGUCCUACAGCCAGACCUGCUAUGAUACCAAGCCUGUGGCACCCCGGCUCAGAGAAACCGGAACGCCCCAUAUUCCAGCCCAGAGAUCGAGGAAAAGUCUCUGGAAUACGGCACUACUUGACAUAGAACAAAUCAGCUCUUAUUACAAGAAUAAUAAUACAAGGGUCUGAUGUUACAACGAAGCAUAUCAGCACGGUGACACUAUGCCUACGAUACUACACUUGCUCUAUGCUAGCAGCAGAACAACUCGUAGCAGCGGAAUACUUCUAGCAGCGGAACAACAACGAAGGUGGUGAACUCCACUCCGCAGGGACUCUGGCCGGGACACGAUCUAGCUCGUAUGCAUGGCAACCAUUCACAAGCAAUCAAGCAAUCAUGGCAUCACCUGCAAUCUUGCAUGACACGCCAGGUCAGUAAAUUGAAUGUACUUGCAAGCUCACAACAACCGUAAACAUCAAGGGAAGACAAUAACAUAGCAUUAACAGGUUAAUUAAAUUAACAAGUAUUAUGAUGGAACAACUACUAAGCAUGGUAUGAAACUGAUACAAUACUAAUGAAUCACCAUCUCAGAUCUCCAUAACCAUAUCUCUCUUGGCUAACCGGCCAAGCAGUAUACCAUCUCGAUCACCUCGUGAUCAAAACCAAACGGUGAUCAUUCCGGUGAUCACAACCAUGACCAACACUUGGUCUCAAACAUGAUCCUUCCGGCGAUCACUACCAUGACCAACACUUGGUCAUCAUCAUCAACAUCCUGCCAAUCUGUACUGCUCAAAAUAUCAACAUAUAUAUAUAUAUCACCUAUAAGUCAUUCCGUCAUGUGAGUGUUGAUCGAACGGUGGGACCUAGUACGAACCCAUGCUAUCGAUAGAUUAAAUACACUCUGUAGAGGUAGCACACUAUACCCACACCACAGAACCCAUGGCCUCGUACUCCGAUUCGGGUGGACCAACGGUGUUCCGACAAAACCGAUCUACUGCCAUGACACUCUCCCGGCCACUCCGACCAACACCCCUUCUGCGUUUAGUCCUGGGUGGCCCCGUGUCUACCAAAGACACAACAACCACCGUCGUGGCCAAAACAUAAACGUCCCAACGGGACAAAAACGCGCCUAACAACUACGGGCACACAAGGUUAGCUCUGCUUACCGGGCCAGGGUACGCAUGCCCAUAACCUUCCCUCGUUGGAGGCACCGGCGAGAGACAUGACAAUAGACCGCAUUAGGGCCUUCCCAUAAGGCAAAUGUGGUUGCGCAAGAAAAGCCCGAUUUGGUGGCACCUGACCAACUUAAUGACGGAAUUUAUCCCCAAAAAUAGAACUGUGAUAACUGAUACUCCAAUUCAGCUAUCAACUAUAAUCCAAGUCAUAGCAAUUUCCAACAAAUAAUCCAAGCAUAAUAUCAUCAUCUCAAAAUACUCCAAGGGUAGCACUACACUACUGUCAUGAUGAAUCCGAAAAUCAAAAUCCUACUACUCCAAUAACAAGAAUAAAGCUAUUCGGCUAAGAUCCACAUGUAAACAUCAUUUCCAAAAAUAAUACUCCAAGCAAUAGAACAUCAACUAGCAUCAUGAAAAUAAUCA
rnacentral:lncRNA from 1 species